AGCUUUCUGAAUACGUACAGAGAUUUUGUCAGACACCAACCCAUUAGGGUUGAUUGAACUUCCAAGAUAAGUGAAGUU
rnacentral:pre_miRNA from 1 species